UGGGGAAUAUUGCACAAUGGAGGGAACUCUGAUGCAGCAACGCCGCGUGCGGGAUGACGGCCUUCGGGUUGUAAACCGCUUUCAGCCAUGAAGAAGCUUUUGUGACGGUAGUGGUAGAAGAAGCACCGGCUAACUACGUGCCAGCAGCCGCGGUGAUACGUAGGGUGCGAGCGUUGUCCGGAAUUAUUGGGCGUAAAGAGCUUGUAGGCGGUUUGUCGCGUCGAUAGUGUAAACACGCAGCUUAACUGUGUGCCUGCUGUCGAUACGGGCUGACUAGUGGAGGGGAGGGGAGAAUGGAAUUCCCGGUGGAGCGGUGGAAUGCGCAGAUAUCGGGAGGAACACCAGUGGCGAAGGCGGUUCUCUGGACCUUUCCUGACGCUGAGAAGCGAAAGCGUGGGUAGCAAACAGG
rnacentral:rRNA from 1 species